GACGAACGCUGGCGGCGUGCUUAACACAUGCAAGUCGAACGGAAAGGCCCUGCUUUUGUGGGGUGCUCGAGUGGCGAACGGGUGAGUAACACGUGAGUAACCUGCCCUUGACUUUGGGAUAACUUCAGGAAACUGGGGCUAAUACCGGAUAGGAGCUCCUGCUGCAUGGGGGGGGUUGGAAAGUUUCGGCGGUUGGGGAUGGACUCGCGGCUUAUCAGCUGGUUGGUGGGGUAGUGGCUUACCAAGGCUUUGACGGGUAGCCGGCCUGGGAGGGUGACCGGGCACAUUGGGACUGCGAGACGGACCAGACUCCUACGGGAGGCAGCAGUCGGGAAUAUUGCACAAUGGGCGGAAGCCUGAUGCAGCAACGCCGCGUGCGGGAUGACGGCCUUCGGGUUGUAAACCGCUUUCGCCUGUGACGAAGCGGGAGUGACGGUAAUGGGUAAAGAAGCACCGGCUAACUACGUG
rnacentral:rRNA from 1 species